rnacentral:rRNA from 1 species
UACAGAGGUCCCAAGCGUUGUUCGGAUUCACUGGGUUUAAAGGGUGCGUAGGCGGAUUAGUAAGUCCGUGGUGAAAUCUCCGAGCUUAACUCGGAAACUGCCAUGGAUACUAUUAAUCUUGAAUGUUGUGGAGGUUAGCGGAAUAUGUCAUGUAGCGGUGAAAUGCUUAGAUAUGACAUAGAACACCAAUUGCGAAGGCAGC